AUUGAACGCUGGCGGCAGGCCUAACACAUGCAAGUCGAACGAGUGGCGGACGGGUGAGUAAUGUCUGGGAAACUGCCUGAUGGAGGGGGAUAACUACUGGAAACGGUCGCUAAUACCGCAUACCAUCAGAUGUGCCCAUAUGGGAUGAGCUAGUUGGUGGGGUAACGGCUCACCAAGGCGAAGAUCCCUAGCUGGUCUGAGAGGAUGACCAGCCACACUGGAACGUAUACACGGCCCAGACUCCUACGGGAGGCAGCAGUGGGGAAUAGUGCACAAUGGGCGCAAGCCUGAUGCAGCCAUGCCGCGGGUAUGAAGAAGGCCUUCGGGUUGUAAAGUACUUUCAGCGGGGAGGCGUUACCCGAAGAAGAAGCACCGGCUAACUCCGUGCCAGCAGCCGCGGUAAUAA
rnacentral:rRNA from 1 species